AUACGGAGGACGCGAGCGUUAUCCGGAUUCAUUGGGUUUAAAGGGUGCGCAGGCGGCCGUGCAAGUCAGCGGUGAAAGCCCGGGGCUCAACCCCGGAAGUGCCGUUGAUGCUGCAUGGCUGGAAUGCGGUCGAGGCGGGGGGAACGCGGCGGGUUGCGGUGAAAUGCGUAGAUAUGCCACAGAACGCCGAUAGCGGAGGCAGCUCGCCAGGCCUGCAUUGACGCUCGGGCACGAAAGCGUGGGGAUCGAACAGGAUUAGAUACCCUGGUAGUCCACGCCGUAAACGAUGGGCGCUCGUCGUCGGCGGCAGACAGUCGGCGGCCAAGCGAAAGCGAUAAGCGCCCCACCUGGGGAGUACGGUCGCAAGGCUGAAACUUAAAGGAAUUGACGGGG
rnacentral:rRNA from 1 species